rnacentral:rRNA from 1 species
UACGUAGGGGGCAAGCGUUGUCCGGAUUUAUUGGGCGUAAAGAGCGUGUAGGCGGCUUGGUAGGUCCGCUGUGAAAACUCGAGGCUCAACCUCGAGAUGUCGGCGGAAACCACUUGGCUAGAGUCCGGAAGAGGAGAGUGGAAUUCCCGGUGUAGCGGUGAAAUGCGCAGAUAUCGGGAAGAACACCGGUGGCGAAGGCGGGACUCUGGGCCGAUACUGACGCUGAGGAGCGAAAGCGUGGGGAGCAAACAGG